UACAGAGGUCUCGAGCGUUGUUCGGAUUCAUUGGGCGUAAAGGGUGCGUAGGCGGCGGGGUAAGUCGGAUGUGAAAUCCUGGGGCUCAACCCCAGAACUGCAUUCGAUACUGCCUUGCUCGAGUACUGGAGAGGAGACUGGAAUUUACGGUGUAGCAGUGAAAUGCGUAGAUAUCGUAAGGAAGACCAGUGGCGAAGGCGAGUCUCUGGACAGUUACUGACGCUGAGGCAGAGGAACCGGGUGGGAGCAAACCGGG
rnacentral:rRNA from 1 species